UUUUGCAUGUUCUUUACAUGCACAGCUGUAACCUCUUGGCCUGAAACUUUUGUCUUUAACCAGGGGUUUCAGCACCAACUACAGUGUCUGCUUUAUUCUUCUGGCUGCCACAAAACCUGAGAGAAUAGCUCAGUUCCUCUUUUCAUUCUAAAGACAGUUGAAAAAGGAAUCUCUUGUGAUCACGGGAGCAACCUGAUGUGACCAUGUGUUGGCACAGGGAGAUGAGUGUCCUGGUUUCACUUUCAGAAUCAGAUAGUUGGUGUGGCAGGAGUGUCUGUGGUUUUAACAAUUAUGCAGAUGUAAAGGAAUUACAAAUAGUUUUAUUGAUAUUUGGAUCUGUGUGCAAAUCAGCCAAACAAUAGAGGAAGAGACCUGUUUGUCUACGUACAUUAAGGCUUUCAACAGCUCUUUGUAAGCCAAUCAAAUAAACAGUGUUCCCAAUUUGUAAAAAGUGUAAUUUCACUAUCUUCAAUGAGAAACGGUGAUGUUAAUGCCACACCGAGAUACCUAAUGCUUUUCAGGACAAAGUUGGCUAUACGCACCUCUACUCCCAUCGUGGCAGAACAGACAGUUUCAAGGAUGUUCACUUGAUUCUCUCCCCGUGUAACACUAAACCCUCAGAUGUGGUUUGGGGUUGAAUACAUACGUGCAUCAGUGCUCUUGGUGUGUGACAAACAUGAGAAAAUGAGUGCCAACAUUUGGAAAUAGACUAUAAAGGAGAGAGGGAAAGGCUCAAAAUCAAAGCAAAGGACUUUGAAGGGUAGAGUUAUGCAAGAGAAACAUCCUAAGUGCUAUGUCUUUCUGUGCAGCAUCAACUGUUUUAUGUAUUUGAGACUUUUACGAUACUAGGCAUUUAAUCUCCUGUUCUGCCAAGCGAUCUUCCUCCAUGAGGAGGCUCUCAACUUUCUGAUCUCUUGCUGUAAGCACAUGAGUUACUUUCUGCUACCCCAGGAAGACAGUGGGGGAAUGGAGAAGUUAAUAAAAAAGGGAAACACGCCUUUUAGUGAAGGUUUCAGAUGGCAGGGUCAUUUAUUCAGCCACAAACGAAUUCCCAGGGCUGGUAGCUUACCCAGGAGAGCUGCUGCCAUGGCCCCUGCCCACCUUGCUCCCAAAGGCAGGAUCCACGUGACAUUCAUUUACAUUGUAUGGUGAAGCAGCUUUCUUUUCCUCUCCUGAUAACCGAAGUUAUUUUAACCCGCUGUCACAAGAGAUCUGCACUUGAUGACAGGCCAACUGUUCGUGCUGCUGAACAGAGUGAUGUUCCAUGGCCUUUUGUACUUCCCUGUGAUUUGGAAGCGUGUUAAGCUGAGGAAAAGCACGGUGGAUUUUUGCUGACCCCUGUGCACAUCAGCAUUUCUGGUACAGAAGUGCUGGGACCAUCUGGCGGGUGUAUGUCAUCUUGCAGAGCUGGGCUGACUGGCGACGGGUGCAGAGCUUGUAUGCAAGAAAAUGGGGCUUGGCGACGCGGGGAGAGGAACUUGCUGGCUUUCUAGCACUGGAAAUUGCAGUAAAGGGAGUCUACUUUGUUCUCGAUGUACGAAGCCAACUACCACAAACUGCUACAGGUACGUGUUGUAACACACUGGUGUUGGCAAAACAGCUGGUGGGUGGAUGAUGAUGCAGAUUCACCGAGCAGUUUUUUAAGCAGCUCAUGUUCAGCCCGUGGGUUUUGUGAAUGUGCCUGAAGUCGUCGAUCAGAGCCGUGGGUUCCCUGGCUGCGUUUGAGUCUCUGAUGAAACACAUGCUCUCUCUUUGCCUUCUCUUUUGUUGCUUCUUUUUCAUUAUGCAGUGGCAAGUUCAUGAAUAUCAACAGGAAAAGUUUGGGAAACAGCUUAAUGCAAGGAUAGGAAGGGGAGAUGGUGUUAACACGUUUGGAUAAGCUGGAAAUUUUUGCCACCACCAACGGGGUAUUGGUUCCCAAUGCCUGAAGGACUCUCCUCUCGCUCCAUCUUUGACUUGGGAAGCCUUACCCAGCCCACAUAGAUCCAGAAAGAAAACCUGGGCACUGUGGCUCAGAGAUGGAGCACUCAUGUCCUAGACAGAGAAAAAUAUACCAUUGCAUACCAUGUUAUAGAUAUAAUUUUGGCCUGCUGCACCCUUCAUAAUAAUUGCAAGGUUCAAGCAACUAUCUCCAAAUGCCCUAGCCAUUGAUGGUUUCUCUUAGUGGCCCCCACAAAAAACAAAUAGACCCAUCAGCUUUGGCAUCGGUUCAAGAAAAGCCAGGGAUGCCAUAUGCGUUCACAUCCUGGCCACACGUGGUGAUGGUAAUAAAUAAUUGGUUGCAAAUGCA
ensembl:lncRNA